CCCACACGUCCGGGCUCGCGGGGCGCUCCACGUUCCGUGCCUGCGGGGUGGGAGGCCGGGCCUCCGGGGCCGGCGUCUGGGCUUUGGGGCCCCAGCGCGGCUUCGCGGGUCACCGGUGGGCGUCCGGGCGCCUUCCAGGCGGGCCCCGAGCCGAGGCGGAACGCUGACGUUUCCUGGAGCGGCCCUUUAAUUUCCGUGAGGCCGUGCGGGGUGCCGCCUCGCUGCGCCGGCCUUUCAUUUCCCAGCAGGGUACCGUUUGGCAAGUGUCAGAAGUGAAAACCUUGGUCCGCAGAACCAAGCUAAAGAGGCUCAUGAUCUUCAGAGGAUUUGUGCCUAAGAGAAUUUGGCAAAAGGCCCGACAACUGAAUGACCUUCCGGACGACCUUCUGGACGAAGCCGGGGCUGCGAGGGCCGAG